rnacentral:rRNA from 1 species
GCCGGCAGCUAGCUCUCUGCAACUCUCAUAUGGUUGCCCACUAAAACUAACCAGUGCUGCGCCCGGUCAGUACCUUGAUGGGAGACCACAUGGCAAACUAGGUUGCUGCCUGAA